GACGAACGCUGGCGGCGUGCUUAACACAUGCAAGUGGAGCGACGAACCAGGGCUUGCCCUGGGGCAAAGCCGCGAACGGGUGAGUAACACGUGGGUAACCUGCCCCGAUGACCGGGACAACCCGAGGAAACUCGGGCUAAUACCGGAUGUACUCUGGAGCCAUAAGGCUCUCGAGCAAAGAUAGCUUCGGCCUUCGCAUCGGGAGUCGGGCCCGGCCGGCCCACUUAGCUUGUUGGUGAGGUAACGGCNCACCAAGGCCGCGAUGGGUAGCUGGUCUGAGAGGACGAUCAGCCACACUGGGACUGAGACACGGCCCAGACUCCUACGGGAGGCANCAGUAGAGAAUCUUGCGCAAUGCGCGAAAGCGUGACGCAGCAACGCCGC
rnacentral:rRNA from 1 species